rnacentral:rRNA from 1 species
UACGUAGGCAGCGAGCGUUGUCCGGAAUUACUGGGCGUAAAGCGUGCGUAGGCGGUGCCUCAAGUUUGGUGUGAAAUCUCCCGGCUCAACCGGGAGGGUGCGCCGAAAACUGAGGUGCUCGAGUGUGGGAGAGGUAAGCGGAAUUCCUGGUGUAGCGGUGAAAUGCGUAGAUAUCAGGAGGAACACCGGCGGUGUAGACGGCUUACUGGACCAUAACUGACGCUGAGGCACGAAAGUGUGGGGAGCAAACAGG